rnacentral:tRNA from 1 species
GGUUCCGUGGUCUAGUUGGUUAUGGCACCUCGUUAACACCGAGAAGGUCCCCGGUUCAAGCCCGGGCGGAAUCA